GACGAACGCGGGCGGCGUGCCUAAUACAUGCAAGUAGAACGCUGAAGGAGGAGCUUGCUUCUCUGGAUGAGUUGCGAACGGGUGAGUAACGCGUAGGUAACCUGCCUGGUAGCGGGGGAUAACUAUUGGAAACGAUAGCUAAUACCGCAUAAUAGUAGAUGUUGCAUGACAUUUGCUUAAAAGGUGCAAUUGCAUCACUACCAGAUGGACCUGCGUUGUAUUAGCUAGUUGGUGGGGUAACGGCUCACCAAGGCGACGAUACAUAGCCGACCUGAGAGGGUGAUCGGCCACACUGGGACUGAGACACGGCCCAGACUCCUACGGGAGGCAGCAGUAGGGAAUCUUCGGCAAUGGACGGAAGUCUGACCGAGCAACGCCGCGUGAGUGAAGAAGGUUUUCGGAUCGUAAAGCUCUGUUGUAAGAGAAGAACGAGUGUGAGAGUGGAAAGUUCACACUGUGACGGUAUCUUACCAGAAAGGGACGGCUAACUACGUGCCAGCAGCCGCGGUAAUACGUAGGUCCCGAGCGUUGUCCGGAUUUAUUGGGCGUAAAGCGAGCGCAGGCGGUUAGAUAAGUCUGAAGUUAAAGGCUGUGGCUUAACCAUAGUACGCUUUGGAAACUGUUUAACUUGAGUGCAAGAGGGGAGAGUGGAAUUCCAUGUGUAGCGGUGAAAUGCGUAGAUAUAUGGAGGAACACCGGUGGCGAAAGCGGCUCUCUGGCUUGUAACUGACGCUGAGGCUCGAAAGCGUGGGGAGCAAACAGG
rnacentral:rRNA from 1 species